rnacentral:rRNA from 1 species
UGGGGAAUUUUGGACAAUGGGCGAAAGCCUGAUCCAGCAAUGCCGCGUGUGUGAAGAAGGCCUUCGGGUUGUAAAGCACUUUUGUCCGGAAAGAAAUCCUUGGCUCUAAUACAGUCGGGGGAUGACGGUACCGGAAGAAUAAGCACCGGCUAACUACGUGCCAGCAGCCGCGGUAAUACGUAGGGUGCAAGCGUUAAUCGGAAUUACUGGGCGUAAAGCGUGCGCAGGCGGUUUGCUAAGACCGAUGUGAAAUCCCCGGGCUCAACCUGGGAACUGCAUUGGUGACUGGCAGGCUAGAGUAUGGCAGAGGGGGGUAGAAUUCCACGUGUAGCAGUGAAAUGCGUAGAGAUGUGGAGGAAUACCGAUGGCGAAGGCAGCCCCCUGGGCCAAUACUGACGCUUAUGCACGAAAGCGUGGGGAGCAAACAGGAUUAGAUACCCUGGUAGUCCACGCCCUAAACGAUGUCAACUAGUUGUUGGGGAUUCAUUUCCUUAGUAACGUAGCUAACGCGUGAAGUUGACCGCCUGGGGAGUACGGUCGCAAGAUUAAAACUCAAAUGAAUUGACGGGGUCAUAGCUG